rnacentral:rRNA from 1 species
UACGAAGGGGGCUAGCGUUGCUCGGAAUCACUGGGCUUAAAGGGCGCGUAGGCGGGUGCUCAAGUCUGUGGGGAAAUCCUCCGGCUCAACCGGAGAACUGCCAUGGAUACUGGGCGUCUCGAGUGUGGUAGGGGUAUGCGGAACUAUCGGUGGAGCGGUGAAAUGCGUUGAUAUCGAUAGGAACUCCGGUGGCGAAGGCGGCAUACUGGACCACCACUGACGCUGAUGCGCGAAAGCCAGGGGAGCAAACGGG